UGCUUGCUCUUCCUGUGGCAGUGAAGGCGAGCGUCCCUGAAAAGGUCACUGAGUCUAGUGCUGCUUUUAAGGAGCUUUGGGUAGCACAGGUCUUCUUCCUCAGGGAAGGUGAGGACACCAGCACAGAUUGGUGAGGCAGCCAGGAGCCCAGGGCUUCCAUGACUCAGGCCCAACUCUGGACUUUGUAAGAUUGUGGAAUCUGCUAAAAAUGUUCCAUAGUUGUUUUGGAUAUCUGCUUGACAUAUUCUCAAUAGCUUGGUUACUUAUGACUACUCUCGUAUUUCUAACCUCAUUUGAUCUAUUUUUUG
rnacentral:lncRNA from 1 species